UUCCGGUUGAUCCCGCCGGACCCCACUGCUACCGAGGUGGGACUAAGCCAUGCUAGUCGAACGCACAGAACUAUGUCUGUGAGUGGCAUACUGCUCAGUAACACGUAGUUAACCUACCCUCCGGACGUGGACAACCCCGAGAAAUUGGGGCUAAUCCGCGAUAGAUGUGAUGUCCUGGAAUGGUAUUACGUCUAAAGGUAUCUCAUACAUGUUUGAUAUACGCCUAAGGAUGGGACUGCGGCUGAUCAGGCAGUUGGUGAGGUAAUGGCUCACCAAACCAUUGACCAGUACGGGCCAUGAGAGUGGUAGCCCGGAGAUGGACACUGAGACAAGGGUCCAGGCCCUACGGGGCGCAGCAGGCGCGAAACCUCCUCAAUGCACUAACGUGCGAAGGGGUUACCUCGAGUGCUAUCUGAUGAAGGUGGCUUUUCCAUGGUCUAAAAAGCCUAGGGAAUAAGAGGGGGGCAAGACUGGUGUCAGCCGCCGCGGUAACACCAGCCCCUCGAGUGGUGGGGAUGAUUAUUUGGCCUAAAGCAUCCGUAGCCUGUUCUGAAAGUUUCCGGUUAAAUCCAUUAACUCAACUAAUGGGCUGCCGAAAAUACUGCAGAACUAGGGAGUGGGAGAGGUAGACGGUACUCGGUAGGAAGGGGUAAAAUCCUUUGAUCUAUUGAUGACCACCUGUGGCGAAGGGCGGUCUACCAGAACACGUUCGACGGUGAGGGAUGAAAGCUGGGGGAGCAAACCGGAUUAGAUACUCGGGUAGUCCCAGCUGUAAACGAUGCAAACUCGGUGUUGCGCUGGCUUGUGGCCAGUGCAGUGCCGCAGGGAAGCCGUUAAGUUUGCCGCCUGGGAAGUACGUACGCAAGUAUGAAACUUAAAGGAAUUGGCGGGGGAGCACCAACAAGGGGUGAAGCCUGCGGUUCAAUUGGAGUCAACGCCGGA
rnacentral:rRNA from 1 species